AUUGAACGCUGGCGGCAGGCCUAACACAUGCCAGUCGAGCGGAUGAAGGGAGUUUGCUCCUGGAUUCAGCGGCGGACGGGUGAGUAAUGCCUAGGAAUCUGCCUGGUAGUGGGGGAUAACGUCCGGAAACGGGCGCUAAUACCGCAUACGUCCUGAGGGAGAAAGUGGGGGAUCUUCGGACCUCACGCUAUCAGAUGAGCCUAGGUCGGAUUAGCUAGUUGGUGGGGUAAAGGCCUACCAAGGCGACGAUCCGUAACUGGUCUGAGAGGAUGAUCAGUCACACUGGAACUGAGACACGGUCCAGACUCCUACGGGAGGCAGCAGUGGGGAAUAUUGGACAAUGGGCGAAAGCCUGAUCCAGCCAUGCCGCGUGUGUGAAGAAGGUCUUCGGAUUGUAAAGCACUUUAAGUUGGGAGGAAGGGCAGUAAGUUAAUACCUUGCUGUUUUGACGUUACCAACAGAAUAAGCACCGGCUAACUUCGUG
rnacentral:rRNA from 1 species